AGGGAAUCUUGCGCAAUGGGCGAAAGCCUGACGCAGCCACGCCGCGUGAGGGAUGAAGGCUCUAGGGUCGUAAACCUCUUUCAGCAGGGACGAAAAUGACGGUACCUGCAGAAGAAGCUCCGGCCAACUACGUGCCAGCAGCCGCGGUAACACGUAGGGGGCGAGCGUUGUCCGGAUUUAUUGGGCGUAAAGAGCUCGUAGGCUGUUCAGUAAGUCAGGUGUGAAAACUCGAGGCUCAACCUCGAGACGCCACCUGAUACUGCUGUGACUAGAGUCCGGUAGGGGAGUGUGGAAUUCCUGGUGUAGCGGUGAAAUGCGCAGAUAUCAGGAGGAACACCAGCAGCGAAGGCGGCACUCUGGGCCGGUACUGACGCUCAGGAGCGAAAGCAUGGGGAGCGAACAGG
rnacentral:rRNA from 1 species